rnacentral:rRNA from 1 species
UACGAAGGGUGCAAGCGUUACUCGGAAUUACUGGGCGUAAAGCGUGCGUAGGCGGUUUGUUAAGUCCGUUGUGAAAGCCCUGGGCUCAACCCUGGGAAUUGCAGUGGAUACUGGCGAGCUAGAGUGCGGUAGAGGAUGGUGGAAUUCCCGGUCGUAGCGGUGAAAUGCGUAGAGAUCGGGAGGAACACCCGUGGCGAAGGCGGCCAUCUGGACCAGCACUGACGCUGAGGCACGAAAGCGCUGGGGAGGCAAAC